rnacentral:rRNA from 1 species
AUUGAACGCUGGCGGCAUGCUUUACACAUGCAAGUCGAACGGUAGAGGGGGCAACCCCUUGAGAGUGGCGAACGGGUGAGUAAUGCAUCGGAACGUGCCCAGUCGUGGGGGAGUAACGCAUCGAAAGAUGUGCUAAUACCGCAUAAUCUCUAAGGAGAAAAGUAGGGGAGUCGAAAGACCUUAUGCUUUUGGUAGCGGCCGAUGUCUGAUUAGCUAGUUGGUGGGGUAAUGGCCUACCAAGGCGACGAUCAGUAGCUGGUCUGAGAGGAUGGCCAGCCACACUGGGACUGAGACACGGCCCAGACUCCUACGGGAGGCAGCAGUGGGGAAUUUUGGACAAUGGGCGCAAGCCUGAUCCAGCAAUGCCGCGUGAGUGAAGAAGG